UACGUAGGGGGCAAGCGUUGUCCGGAUUUAUUGGGCGUAAAGAGCGUGUAGGCGGCCUGAAAGGUCAGCUGUGAAAACUCGAGGCUCAACCUCGAGACGUCGGUUGAAACCAUCUGGCUAGAGUCCGGAAGAGGAGUGUGGAAUUCCCGGUGUAGCGGUGAAAUGCGCAGAUAUCAGGAGGAACACCGAUGGCGAAGGCAGGU
rnacentral:rRNA from 1 species